GACGAACGCUGGCGGCGUGCCUAAUACAUGCAAGUUGAGCGGAAUGAUGAAGAAGCUUGCUUCUUCUGAUUUUAGCGGCGGACGGGUGAGUAACACGUGGGCAACCUACCUUGUAGAUUGGGAUAACUCCGGGAAACCGGGGCUAAUACCGAAUAAUCCAUUUUGCUUCAUGGCGAGAUGUUGAAAGACGGUUUCGGCUGUCACUACAAGAUGGGCCCGCGGCGCAUUAGCUAGUUGGUAGGGUAAUGGCCUACCAAGGCGACGAUGCGUAGCCGACCUGAGAGGGUGAUCGGCCACACUGGGACUGAGACACGGCCCAGACUCCUACGGGAGGCAGCAGUAGGGAAUCUUCCACAAUGGACGAAAGUCUGAUGGAGCAACGCCGCGUGAGUGAAGAAGGUUUUCGGAUCGUAAAACUCUGUUGUAAGGGAAGAACACGUACGAGAGUAACUGCUCGUACCUUGACGGUACCUUAUUAGAAAGCCACGGCUAACUACGUG
rnacentral:rRNA from 1 species